rnacentral:rRNA from 1 species
UACGUAGGGUGCGAGCGUUGUCCGGAAUUAUUGGGCGUAAAGAGCUCGUAGGCGGUCUGUCGCGUCGGAUGUGAAAGCCCGGGGCUUAACCCCGGGUCUGCAUUCGAUACGGGCAGACUAGAGUUCGGUAGGGGAGACUGGAAUUCCUGGUGUAGCGGUGAAAUGCGCAGAUAUCAGGAGGAACACCGGUGGCGAAGGCGGGUCUCUGGGCCGAUACUGACGCUGAGGAGCGAAAGCGUGGGGAGCGAACAGG